rnacentral:tRNA from 1 species
UCCCUGGUGGCCCAGUGGUUAGGACUCCAUGCUUUCACUGCUGAGGGCCCAGGUUCAAUCCCUGGCUGGGGAA